GUCUGUAAACAGCCACACACAGUCUUGGAGGUCUGUAGGUCAGAACUCUUUCUUUCUGAGGCAUUUUCCUGCUGUGAAGCCCUCGCUGUCCUGGAACCUGCAGUAUGUGUAAACCAGGCUGGCUUUGAACCAGUGGUGACACUGCCACCUCAUCCUCCCGCACCCUGAGACUACAGGGCGUGCCACCAGUCCAGCUAUAGGAUAAAAUGAAGGCGUAGAUGGGGCUGUGCUCCUUCUGAGGCCUGAAGGAAUAAUCUAUUCCCUUGCCUGCUUCAGCCUUUGAAGACUGAACUCCCGUUCCUUCAGAGCCAGCCACAAAGCCCUUCCCCUCCGCCUUUUCAGACCCCCAAGAAAGAAAAGUUCUUCAGUUUUAAAUACUCACUAGAUUAGAUACUCGGGCCUUCAUCAUGGGAGCUGAUGUCCUUCUGUGAACCGUAUCUGCCAGGUUUCCUUUGUCACACAUGGUGAGGUUCUCUCAGGUUCUAUGCAUUUCCCCGCAGGCUUCCGUGGGUGGCCAUUGCGUUUCCCUGAUGUAGUAGGGUAGGGAUCCACUGAUUCUGUGGGAUUCCUCUCUCAGUAACACGGUACUAGGUUUUCAAGAGAUAGUAAAUCUGAGGUUCCCUUGCCCCAUGGAGACUUUAAAAUGUCGAGGACCAGAAAGGGUAGAGCCUCUGUUUGUUGAGAGCACCCAUUAAAACCUCUCUCUAAACUACCCUCAGAGGCAAUUCAACUUUAAGCAUUUAUUUAUUUAUUUAUUUUGGAAACAAGCUUCUUAACCCCUCCAGUCUGAUCUAUGUUUUCAUGGAGGGAGGUCUCUUAAAAGUGUGUCUCUUGACUGGGCGGGGCAGAAAGUUUUUCUCUCUCCGAUGAUCACAUGUGUGGAUGCGGGUUGAGGAAAGGACUUACCACAUUUGGGGCCCUUGGUCGAUGAGCAGGACAAGGCAGACUCAUCCUGUUUUGUUUUGCCUAACGUGGUGUUCACUUCACCAGCGUGGAUGUCCAGCCUUGUGGCUGGGCCCCUCUGAAGGUCCCCGUUACCUUCAGCAGAAGAGAUAAAACUGUUUCCACCACAGAUGACAACCAGGGUGAGAUGCUGGAUGAGAAAAAGCCAGCUGUCCUUGAACUCCCAGAGAGCCACCAACCUCAGCCUCUUGAGUGCCGAGGUGACAGUGUACACCUGCUCCAGCCCCUUCGUUUAUUUUUAAGAUGGGAACUCUUCCCUUGUGUCAUCCAGCUCAGCUCCAUCUAUAAUCUGCAAGGUCUUCUAGGUUUCCUCAGGUUUCUGUCUCCUGCAUCGUUUGUGAGACAGAAAUAGCUUCCCAACUUACAGCCUUGAAAAAAGAAAUGUUAGCUACUGCUUUUCCUACAGAACUGUCUUUAAGGAACAAAACUACUUUUCGUUGUGCGAGGUCAGUCAUACCGUUUCUUAUUUGCCACAUUCUAUAGUACCUGGUCCAUUCCCAAACUAAAACCCCUCCUGGAGAUAAGCCUGAACACAUAUGUUGCCUUAGCCACUUAGGGUUUAGGAGAUGUAUUAAGAAAAUUUGUCUGUCUGUCACUGUCGCUGGACAAAAGUUUAUGUGUGUACGUGUAGCAAUUUUUUUUUUCUAUUUCAAAGAUGUGAAUUUGAUGGAGUGUGGGAGCCAGUGCGGCUGUUCUGUGUCGUGGGUGUUCUGGGUCCUGCCACUCCCUGCUUCCUCGUAAGGGCACCAUCUCCUGGCUUCCUGGUGGGCUGUAGAGCGACACUUGAUUUCUGCUCGUCUCAGGGGACCAGCUCUGCAGACUCCAUCUCGUGAAGAAAGUGAAUGUUUGCCUUGAUUUUUGAAUGUAUUUUUUUAAAUGUCUUCUUAAAACAUAUUUUUGUUUAAUAAUGUGGGUUUUGUUUUCUUUCCUAGCAUGAUAGUAAAUAUUUCUUAGUACCCUACACCCCUACCCCAGGAAGUUUAUAUUCUACCCUACAGGUCAUGCCAAAAAUGAAUAAAAGUUUAAAUGCCAAAAUGUUUAUAAAAACUGCUGUCUACAUACUGAUUGAUUGCACAGUUUAAAUAAAACCUUUCCUUAGUUUUAAAAAAAAA